rnacentral:lncRNA from 1 species
UUAUGUUCUCAUUGAACUGAGGUUUUGUUUUUCUUUUCUUUGCUGUGUUGAUUAUUGAAGCAGCUUACUAAGGUGUCUGAACGGGAAGAACAUUCAGGGUAUUCCAUGUGAGAGCUUGAACAUCACAAAAUAUGAUUGAACACUGAGCAUAGGAAGAGCUAUACGCAGGUUGAGCUUCUCUCAACUCUUUUCCAUUAAAUUUCUUUGAACCUGUUGAUCUCACUGACUUAUCAUUUUUCUUUGGACCUUUUACUAUCACUAAGGUAUGGAGCGACUACUAUUGUGUUUAUUUAGGAGUGCUUUUUGAAUUGCAGGUGAUGACUACAAGAUCAAGGUUUGGAACUAAAAGUUGUACA